AAACUUGUACAUGGCACAGGGCAAUAUUGAAUGAUAAUUUCGAAUUUCUAAUUUUUAAUUUCGAAUAAAUUUUUCCGCCGAAGGCGGAUCAGCCUCAAGCUGAUAAUGAUUUAAUUUUGAAACAUCGUGUUUCAAAAUUAGAAAAUUCUAAUUUUAUUCAAAAUUCAAAAUUCAUCAUUCAAAAUUUUCGUGUGUUGUGUAUGAGGCCUAAAGAAAGGCCUAUGGUCUAUCAGCUUGUUGGUAAGGUAAUGGCUUACCAAGGCUAUGACGGAUAGCGGGUGUGAGAGCACGACCCGCCUCACCGGGACUGAGAUACUGCCCGGACUCCUACGGGAGGCUGCAGUCGAGAAUAUUCCCCAAUGGACGAAAGUCUGAGGGAGCGACGCCGCGUGCAGGAAGACGCCCUUCGGGGUGUAAACUGCUUUUAAUGGGGACGAACAAAUGACGGUACCCAUUGAAUAAGAGGUUCCUAACUCUGUGCCAGCAGGAGCGGUAAUACAGAGACCUCAAGCGUUAUCCGGAUUUAUUGGGUGUAAAGGGUCUGUAGGUGGCUUUUUGCGUCUUUUGUCAAAUCUUGAGGCUCAACUUCAAGGCUGCGAGAGAUACGGGAAAGCUAGAGGGUGGAAGAGGUGCACGGAAUUGCCGGUGUAGUAGUAAAAUGCGUUUAUAUCGGCAGGAACACCAAAGGCGAAGGCAGUGCACUAGUACAUACCUGACACUAAAAGACGAAAGCGUGGGGAGCGAUGCGGAUUAGAUACCCGCGUAGUCCACGCCCUAAACGAUGAAUGCUAGAUAUUGGGAGUAUCGACCCUCCCAGUGUCGUUCAAACAAGUUAACACGUUAAGCAUUCCACCUGGGGAUUACGGCCGCAAGGCUAAAACUCAAAGGAAUAGACGGGGAUCCGCACAAGCGGUGGAGCAUGUGGUUUAAUUCGAUGGUAAGCGAGGAACCUUACCAGGGCUUGAACUUUCAGGUUGUAGUUUCCCUUAACCGGGAAGCGACCGUUAAAUCGGAACCUGAGAGAGGUGAUGCACGGUUGUCGUCAGCUCGUGGCGUGAGCUGUAUACUUAAGUGUCGUAACGAGCGCAACCCCUAUCCUGUGUUGUACUUUCACAGGAGACUGCCCUCCACUUUGAACACAAGUUCAAAGUGGAACAAAGAAACAAAAGAACAAAAGGACAAAGAAACAAAAAAGUUUCUUUGUUUCUCUGUUUCUAUGUUUCUCUGUUCAUACUUUGUUCACUUGCGAGCAGAGUGGAGGGAGGAAGGUGGGGAUGACGUCAAAUCAGCGUGUCCCUUAUGUUCUGGGCUACACACGUGCUACAAUGGCCGGUACAAUGGGCUGCCAAGUCGUAAGACGGAGCCAAUCCCAAAAAACCGGUCUCAGUUCAGAUUGAGGUCUGCAACCCGACCUCAUGAAGCUGGAAUCGCUAGUAAAUGCGUAUCAGCCUCGGCGCAUUGAAUACGUUCCCGGAUCUUGUACUCACCGCCCGUCACGCCAGGAAAGUCGGAAGCACCUGAAGCACCAUUUACGUGGUAUCAAGGUGAAGUCGAUGAUCAAGGCGAAGUCGUAGCUGCAAACUG
rnacentral:rRNA from 1 species